GUGAAGAUGCCUUCCUAGAGUUAAGUUGCUCUUCAGUGGGGCUCUUAGACUCUGGGGAAACUUCCCUCCUUUUGUGGCCAACUCUCAGAGGGAUCUGAGUGGACUGCAGUUACAUCCACCAAGUAUUUUUUUUUACACAUUUUUAAAAAUCUUUUUUAAUAUUGUUAGCCUACCAGAAUCAUGUACUGAGAAAGGUGGCCAUAUCACCAAAUAUCAUCGACAUCAGCCAUUCGAUUGUGUUCAACCUUCGGCCACUCUAUGAAUCAGCAGUCUCAAGCCCAUCUGUCUCACACCGCCUCCUUCAGAUCCGCCAUGAUCAUCCUGGCAUCAUUCUUUAUAGUAUCCAGCUAAUGGGUACUACGGUGGCCCCUUCUCAUUUUUCCACUGAUCAAUCCCAGCAUGAUUGACUUUUCGAGUGAGUCAGCUCACUUGACAUGAAGUAUGAUAGCUUCUUUUUGGUGAUCUUGGCUUCAAGUGACAUUUUUGAUGAUGUUCAGUCUAGGACUUUUUUUUAUUAUUAUUUUUGAAGUCCAUGAGAUGUGUAAUGGUUACCUCCAGCACCACAGUUCAAAGGCAUCCACCCUUCUCCUAUCUGCCUUUUUCAGAGUCCAUGUUUCACAGCCAUAAGUAGCAGUUGCAAAAAUUAUUGCGUUAACUAAUCUGCAUUUGAUCGUGAGGCUAAUGCCUUUACGCUUCCAGGUGUUAUUCCAGAUUUUGAAGUUCUUCCAAGUGCUAUACACCUUCUGAUCUUAGGGCUGCAGUCACCACUUUGGUCAACUUUAGAACCAGGAAGUUGAAUUCCUUUACUGUUUUGAUGGUCUCAUUGUCCAACUGCACUCUGACCCAUGUGUUCUCUGCAAUUGUUAUUAUCUUUCUUUUCUUGAUGUUGAAGCACAGUCCAAAUUUUUCACAUUGAUCUUUGAUUCUCAAGAUUAACCACCAAGAUCCUCCUUGCUUUCCCUGAGCAAUGUCAUAUCAUCUGCAUAUCGGAGGUUGUUGAUAAGCCCAUCGCUAGCAGAAAGCUAAUUUGGCAUAUUUUUAUGUUUUGAGUUUCAAAACGAGGGGUGUAAAUCAAUUCUGCUAAAUUAUUUCCAAACAUUGCUGCUUAUUUUUAUCAUGAAGGGCAAAAUAAAACAUCUUAUUUAAGGCUGUCUGAAGCCAGAAGGGAAAAAAAAUUAUCAUUUUCAACUGGAAUGGCCUCAACUAGCUUCUUUGCAAAAAAAAAAAAAAAACCCCAGAAAGAAACAAAAAAAAAAAAUCACGAGAAGACAGAAAGAACAAGAAGUUACAACUUCCUGACUGAUAUCAGUGAUGUAAUUGUUUGCUUUAAUUUUUUCCUUAAAAAAAGGAAAUACCAGUAUAUGCUUUUGUAAAUAAAAGUUACUUAAGCUAACUAUUACGCCAGGAUGAAAAAAGCUUGUAUUUAUAUUUGUGUGUGUGUAUAGGAUACAAGUAAAUGAGCAUAUAGGAUUUUUUUUAAAAGUUGCAUUAGUAAGAAUAUAAUUGCUGAUUAAAAGAAGUAAUUAUUCCUUUU